UUCCCACUUGGAGCCGGUCUCCAGGGCAGAUCUUCCGGGCGACUCGCCCCGUAAGAAAUUAGAAAAUGCUACAAUAAAAAACCCCGAAAAAACUGAAAAAAAUAUGGGAACUUUAAUAAUGAAAGCCCUCACGCCGUCCAGCGUAAACACACACACCUCCUUUUAGCUGGAAGUCAGCGAAAAGACAGCGAAGUACCACAGAUCAUUCAAGGAAAGCCAUCUUCUAUAUUAAAAAUGCCACUGCUAGUACAACACAAGGCAUGGUUGGCAACCUGUUCCCAUUGCUGCCCCCUCCUUCCCACCAGCCACCAAGCCCCUCCAGGGAGCCUUGGGAGACAGAGAGCCAUCACCAUGGUGAUGUGAACACAGAUCCCCUACACACCGGUCCAUUGUGACUGGCGUGCGUUGAGAUCUCAGUGGAAUUGCGCUCAGAUCCGUGUGGAGGGACCGCUGGAGGAGAGACUGUGGGAGUUGGUGAAACCAGUUGAUUGGAGAAAUGAACAGAGUAACGUGGAAAUAGACUGUUAUUACUAAUAACUCCAUGUUUUUGUUUCCCUUUUUUUUUGUUUUUAGCAUCUGGGUAAAAACACAAAAGCCCUGUCACCAGGGAAUGUCAUUAUCACUAUCUGAUUAAAUUGUUUUUUUUGCAAAUUCUCCAAACAGACAUAGCCCAAAGUUAAACGAAACCGACAGGCUUUUUAAUAUUUUAAAAGGUCUUUUGCGCUUCUGUGGUUUUGAAUAUUAUUUAAUCAGCAUCAGAGUGUUUCAAUUUGGAACUUAUUCAGUAAUAAUGAAGUAGCUUAAUUUGGCAGAAAUUCUAUGCAGUUUUCCUGUAUAUUUAACAAAUAAUCUGAAUAAAUUAUGUUUGGGAGAAACCUC